GUAGGAGGAGGUGAGUCCUACAUAGCAGGGUAUGAUGGAGGGGGGUAAGGAAGACAGAGUGCAGUAUAGUCAGCUGAAAGGCAAGACAAGAUAGGCAGAACAGGGAAUACAGAUCAUCUGGCAAAGAGAUUUGCAGAGUGUCGGGUGACCGGCAAAGAGAUCUGCAAAGUGUCAGUUGAAGACGACGGGAGGGGUCACAGAGGAAUUAGUGACUGGAGAAUAGCAUGCAGUAGUGGGUGAUCCCUGAAUAGCUGGCCUGGGAGGAGAGCUGCGGGCACAUGCUCCAAAUGUUGGGACAUAUACAUUACCUAUUAGGAGAUGCGGUAAAGAUGCCGGCUGUCGGGUUUAUGGCAGUCAGAAUACUGACACUGUGAUCACGACACCCUUCAGAAUCCCGACGUUGGAACUCCGAAUGGGCAAGGAUACAGACGCCCGUAUCCCCACGAUCAUAGGUUUGGGGCUGGGCAAGAGGGUUUACGUUUAGGCAUCAGG